UACUCCUACGGGAGGCAGCAGUGGGGAAUUUUGGACAAUGGGCGAAAGCCUGAUCCAGCAAUGCCGCGUGUGUGAAGAAGGCCUUCGGGUUGUAAAGCACUUUUGUCCGGAAAGAAAUCCUUGGCUCUAAUACAGUCGGGGGAUGACGGUACCGGAAGAAUAAGCACCGGCUAACUACGUGCCAGCAGCCGCGGUAAUACGUAGGGUGCAAGCGUUAAUCGGAAUUACUGGGCGUAAAGCGUGCGCAGGCGGUUUGCUAAGACCGAUGUGAAAUCCCCGGGCUCAACCUGGGAACUGCAUUGGUGACUGGCAGGCUAGAGUAUGGCAGAGGGGGGGUAGAAUUCCACGUGUAGCAGUGAAAUGCGUAGAGAUGUGGAGGAAUACCGAUGGCGAAGGCAGCCCCCUGGGCCAAUACUGACGCUCAUGCACGAAAGCGUGGGGAGCAAACAGGAUUAGAUACCCUGGUAGUCCACGCCCUAAACGAUGUCAACUAGUUGUUGGGGAUUCAUUUCCUUAGUAACGUAGCUAACGCGUGAAGUUGACCGCCUGGGGAGUACGGUCGCAAGAUUAAAACUCAAAUGAAUUGACGGA
rnacentral:rRNA from 1 species